UGUGGUGAUGAUGGCAAGAAGGACCCACCUGUUCCCAUACCGAACACAGAAGUUAAGCUUCUUAGCGCCGAGGAUAGUGACGGGUUUCCCGUUGUGAAAGCCGGACGUCGCCACGC
rnacentral:rRNA from 1 species